UUCAGGUAAACCAGCCAAAACUAUUCCCUGAAUGAAAACACCUUUUUUUAAAGUUGCAUAUAUACACAAGAAAAAACCGAAAUGCUUUUUAUUUUGCCUGAAUGCAAGAUUUAAACAAGGUAUUGCCAUAGAAGUCUCUACCACAGAGUGUUCUGUUGGACCCUUUCAUGGAACUGUAGCAUCAUAUGGGCGACACUUGUGUUUGAAUCCUAUCCUCUGUCUUCCGGUUCUGUCACCCUGGGAAAUAAAGAAGCAGGACUUGAGGCUCCUUUCACUCAUUCGCUGCUGGGUAAGCGUGUAGCAGGCUUGGCCG
rnacentral:lncRNA from 1 species